rnacentral:rRNA from 1 species
AGUGAACGCUGGCGGCGUGCCUAAUACAUGCAAGUCGAACGGAGUGGCGCACGGGUGAGUAAUGUAUAGCUAAUCUGCCCUACACUAGAGGACAACAGUUGGAAACGGCUGCUAAUACUCUAUAGUGUAGGAUGAGGAUAUAUUGUAUCAGCUAGUUGGUGAGGUAAUGGCCAACCAAGGCUAUGACGCAUAACUGGUCUGAGAGGAUGAUCAGUCACACUGGAACUGAGACACGGUCCAGACUCCUACGGGAGGCAGCAGUAGGGAAUAUUGCUCAAUGGGGGAAACCCUGAAGCAGCAACGCCGCGUGGAGGAUGACACUUUUCGGGUUGUAAAGCUCUGUUAAUCGGGACGUCUUGCGAAAGUGAGAAGGAUUGACGGUACCGGAAUAGAAAGCCACGGUAACUACGUGCCAGCAGCCGCGGUAAUAC